GCGGGUGAUUAGCUCAGUUGGGAGAGCAUCGCCCUUACAAGGCGAGGGUCACUGGUUCAAGUCCAGUAACAACGCA
rnacentral:tRNA from 1 species